GCAGCACCAUGGGCAGAAGGCAGGGCUGUGCUGCAAGAGGGAGGCCGGGAGGUAACCUGUGCCCUUGCUACCAUGAGCAGUUGGUAGGUCAACAGAAUCUCCAGCAGUAGAUUCAGCCCCUGGGGCUCAGCCAACCCGACAGCGUGCAGAGCUGUCCCUCAGGUCAUUUGAAAGAAGCAGCACAAACAUCCUUAUGAGGUCCCUUCCUAUACUAAGGAGUCCCUGCCCUGCAAUAGCUGUACUUAUGACACAGCAUUCACCAGAGGCCUAUACUUCUGAUUCAUGUUCAAAAGCUAUGUUCCUAAGUCCACAUCUGACAAUUUGAUAAAAGACUUGAUUUUUCAGGAACCCUUGAGUUUCUAUUAAAAGCAGCAAGACAGCAAAUUUCUGCUCAUUAGAAAUUCAAGCCGUCUACUCAGGAGUCUAACUAUGGAGUUGGACUUUUAUUUUAUGAUGUAUUGGCCUUUGUCUUGGGCUGUCAUAAAGCAAACAUGAUAAGCUAGCGACUGGCAUUUCAGUUUUCAGCCAUUUGCUGAAUGUUAUAGCAGCACAAAAUGAAGUAGAAUUACCAAAGGGUCAAAGGCAUAGAUUAGAAGUGGCAUUAAGAAAUGGCAAGAAUUACUGAUAAGUCUUAGUAUCUUUGUUUUAUUACUUCCCUGUCUCUGUCAGAUCUGCAAACACUUUGAAUCACAUCUAAUUGAACAACAGCUUCAUUGUGAAACCUGCCAUUCUUAGCUCCAGUACAGAAAAUAUCUUUAAAAACCACCCCCGCUUUCUAGCAUUGUGCAAAGAAUUACAGGUCGUCUGCCAUAGGUACGCACCACACACAGCAUCAUCUUCCUUCAGUCCUGCUCCUUGCCCUACUGCCCUCCAGCUCUUCAUGCACCUUGCACGUGUCACCAGCAGUGUCCCCUGGGCUGGUGUCCCAUAGCUGCAGGGCAGGGCAGGCAGCGCUGUGAGGACAUGUGCCAAGGUGACCUUAAGGUUCCCAGAGCCCUGCCCAUACUCCGCACAGCACUCAAGCAAACUUCCCUGAAAACACUUCAAAAUGAAGUGCGUUCUGCUUCCUUCUCCUGUGGGCUAUUGAAUGUUGCAGCAUCUGCUACCUGUGAUCAAUCUUACAUCGUUGAUUGCUCUUAUGUAAGUAAAAAGGAUUAGCUGUCUUGGAGCAUUUGCCCUACAUUUCACUGUUUUGCUGGUCAAAGCUGAGCUGGAUAGGAGUGUGAAAAAAAACAAAGGUUGUGAAAGCCCUGAUGUUGACAAGAGUUAUGUCACCAAAAAAGCAUUUUUGUCCGGAUAGCUGACUUCCUUUUGGAGGAUGCGUUCUGUUGCUGCUCUGAGCUGUGGCUGUACUGUGGUACUGGCAAGCCUCAUCUGGAGCAGAUCACAGAAUCAUUUAGGCUGGACAAGAAAUUCAAGAAUCGUGCAGUGCGGAGAUGCCCAGCUACGCAGUCCAGCUGGGUGGUGACAGCCUGUGUGGUUCUGGCAGGUGCUCAACCUACUCUGAUGACCUUGGUGCACCUCCUCGGAAUGGUAUGCGUCUAUUGCAAGGUCUAGGCGUGAGGAGGGUGUGCAAGAAGCUUCUGACCUGCCUCCGACUUAUGAUUUUUAAUCAGUGGGAUAUUGCAGCUGUGGGCUCAGAGGUUGUUCACCUCUGCUUCUUUCAAUUCCAUCAAACUGGGCACUCUGCAGCAGAAGAUAUAAUGGUCUGGAGGAGGCUGGAUGAUCCUUUCAGUCAGAUGACAGAUUCAUGUACACGAGAUGCCCCGUGAUAUAUAAUACAUCCCUCUGUCUUCCUUGGAACAUGUAAGGGUUUGCAGUGCUGAUGCUGCCAUAAAGUAAACUCACUGGAGUGAUCUAAACUGACCCAGUCAAGGCUAAAAGUGAUGGUUCCAGUUCAGAUAAGCCCUUCACUGGGCUAUUUACAUGAGAUCAACCAUGUGAGUCACAGUCUCAGACCUGAACAGCCCACUCUGUUACUUCAGUGAGGAUUUCUCUGGCUCUGUCAUUUUUAUUUUUAUUUUUAAUUAUUUUUUGCUGUUUUAAAACUCCUCAUGCAGUCAAGAUCAGGCUGGAAAUUUCUCUGCAACAGUGGUGCAUUCCCAUUGCCUCCUACUCUCUGUUUUAACCUUUAGUCAUUUCGCUUUCAGACAGAAUUGCUGAAAGCCCCUUCCUUCCAAUCUGCACACUAAAGAUUACGAAAAGCUAAUGAGAAAAGCUAAAACUCAUUUGAUCGGAAAGAAUAAUUCCAUCUCUCUUCUGUGGCAAAUGAGAAAGUCGGGCAAACAUAAUGCAUUUGUCAAAGACAGCUGAAUAUCCCAUGUUUUAUUCACCUUCAUAUAAGGGUACUAUAAUAAAGGUUAGGGCUUAAAUCCCUGACAGGUUGACUGUAUGACUGAAUGACUCUAAUGUUGUUUCUCCAGGGCUUGUUAGAGCUCUGUAACUCUCCACAUAGAGGACUGAACGCCUGGGGAAAGGGCUGGGCUCAAGAGAUCCUGGUAAUACAGAGGGUGGAUAUCUGUUAGCAUUGCUAUAGCAGAUUGUGCCCGCAGAUCUCAGCCCAGCUACUACAUCCAGCUUUGCUGUCGUCCCUGUGAGCUCUGGCCAGAUAGGUCUAUGGAUCAGGGCGCAAACAUGCAGUAACUAUUAUUUGACUUCUAAGCAUUGCCCCCCAGUUCCCUAGAAAGGAUCCAUCCAGUGUCACCAAGGUGGAGUCAUUUUUCCCCAUCUCUCAGUUUCUGCCUCAGGAAAAGGUAAGCUUUAGUGCUUCCUGUCUUUAUUAGCGUUGUAAGAUGCAUCACUGGAAAACUUCAUAUCGAAUUCUGAACUUUACCAACGAUCUCAGGAUGCUGGCUCAGUUUAGCCAGUGCUGUGUGGCUAAACCUAGUCUGGAAAGAUUUAAAUAUUUAUAGGAGUGAAUUAUCUACUCUGUAGAGACAAUUCUGUUUUUUCUGACUUGGUCAGUUUUAUGCUUCGUUCCACUGUGUAUUUGAGUCUCUCUGCACUGCCCUGCCUCACCCCACUUUUGGGAUAGGUGAAAAGAUGAAAUUGAUGGCUCUCAGAGCUGCCCUGAACUCCUGUAGAAUACUUGUGCCACCUUGUAAAGCCUGAAGACGUUGGUGUUCCUGUUCCAGCUGCACUGCUGACAUGCGGAGGUAGAUAAACUGAGCCACUGUACAUCCUCAAGAACUUAAAUAUAGCAACAAUGUCAUGGGAAAGGUGUUGAGACUUGGAGAAAUCUGCAUUCAUGCUGGUGAAAUAACUUUGGGCUGCAGGAAAGCAAUGGCUUUCUGUCCUCUUUUUCUUUAAGCUGCUACAGACCAGAGCUGUGUUCCCAAGAAAGCAGUGACUAUAGAUUUGCAGAGAGAAGCAUGUCUGUUAGAGGGGAAAAUAUUAUUUAAAAAACAAAACAAAACAAAUAAGUAGUUUACUAAAAGCAGAAAUUGGUUUCAAUGGAAAACACGCAUCCAACAAAAUGCCUGGAACAAUUUGACUGCAGCAAAUACCUGACUUCGUGCUUCAGUCAAAGAUAUCAGGCUGACUGAAGAAGUAAUCGAAUGAAAUUAUACUGUCUGUGUUAUGCUGGAAGGGCAGAACAAAUGAUCCCCAGGCUUUGCAGUCCUGAAGAACUGGGGCAUUUUCAUGAAUUUUCUAUGCAGUGUUACUUGCAGCCAGACAAGACUCCUGCUAGCUUGUGCUUCCUGCCUUGCCUCUGCUGUUUGGGUCUGCUGCAGAGCAUGGUGUGGUGGGAUAGGUAAGAGUACAGUAGGGCUAGGUCCACAGAAAGCCUGUGGGCCAUCCUGGCACUCUGGAAUGAUCCUAAACGGAGCCCUUCUGCUCCCUCUGGAAGGGCUUCUUUACAAAGGAGAGCCCAGGAAAAAGUCAGCUCAGUGAACUAAAAGUGUGAAUUUCAAAUAGGCGAGUUAAGUGCAUUAAAGUGGACACCUUCAGUAAGAGUUAAAUGGUGGACUAAAUUAAUUUGUUUUAAUUUGCUUUGGAGGCAGAAUAUACUGUAGAGAAUAAGCACACCUCUAAGUCUAAGUAAAAAUGCCCACAUGGGGCUUUAAUGUGAUUCAAUUAUGUUUACAAGUUUUGCUAGCUUGCCAAAAGUUCAUUCAAAUUAGGUUUCCAGACCAUCUCCAUGCAGUCCAACCCAUAGCCUCUCCUGCUGAUGAAACGGGGACCUUUCUGCCUUAGAAAAGCAGUACUGCUGGGCUCAGUUCAUUGACAUCUGGAAAGCAUUUUGCUGUGUGGGAGGCACAAGGCAAGAUACACCUCAUUCUCAAUCACAGGUCCAGCAGAGGCAGGCUGUGGGCAGCUGCCUGCUAGCUACAGGGAUGGGGCUGUCACCUGCAUGGAGCUGUACCUGAGGCAACAGAACACCGGUUCUGUUUGAUCUUCUGCCCCCAGGUUCCUUCCGGGUACCUCAGGUACCUGCUUGUUCUAACAGGGGCUGCAACAGCGUCAGCGUACUUUAAAGUGGAGAGAAGGAUUUGCAGGCCUGUUGUGAGCACCUGAUGCGGGUGACUUUUCCUGUGGCAUUUUGUUACAGGAACUCGACUGCAGCAGAUUCCUGGAAUUCUGAUCCCUGGCAUAAAUGUGGAAGAACCAAAAACAGCAGAAUCUGUCCAGAGCAUCACACUUUCAAUUCGGAGGCAGGUCAGAGGAUCCCCGGCCUGAAACGGGGCUGUUGGCACAAAGAUAGCCAUCCUCAUCCAUAUGCAUCCAGUGGGCUUAGGUGGAGGCAAAAGGUACACUGAGCAGCUCCGCUGCUUUCAGAGUCAUGGCCUACUAGCAUGCAUUUUCUAAGAGACUGAUGACAUUUAAAGCUCUUUGAGUAAACUGUUUGCUUUCCAUUUUGAACAGGAAACUCAUUCUGCUGUUUGUCACAGAAUGAAGCACAGUGAUCACCAUCCCAAUCAAGAAAAUGUUUGCCAUCUCACCAAUGUUGUCCCGGAGAACAAAUACACAUCUUGGCUGUUAAAUACUGUCUCAUUAGUUAUGCUGGGACAGAUUCUCUUACAAAGGUCAGGGUGCAGUGUUGACUAUUGCAAUAUGCUGCAGUCAUACCAAACAACCCAAACCAAAGCAAAGGCCAACAAGAAGUCAACAGAGGACAGCAGGCUUCCCAGCUGGUAGAGUGAGCUACCAUCAUAGGGUAAGAACUUACAGUGUGAACAACACUGGAGUAACCUUUAAAAUUAUUAAAGACAUUUGUUGGUAGUUUUAGUGAAAGGACCUCCUCUGAGAAGGAGGAGAAAGGCCUCUGACAAGCACUGCAAAUCAUGUAGCAUCCCACUGUGGCCCUGACAGAACAAUUAAAACAAGUUGUUUAGGAACAAGUUGAACCCUAACUUACCCAUUCCCAUUGCCAGUUCCUGUGUGGGGCUGCUUAGAUAAGUCUUGCUCCUGAUGGCUAAAGAUAGAAAUGUUUUCCACUCAGAUUUUUGUUUUACUUUUUAAGCUGUGUUAAAGCAGUCCUCAGAAUAGUGUUGGGAUUUGUUUGGUUCUCAUUCCCUGACUUGCUUUAGUGCUGGCAGUCCCAGAAUGGCCAGUCCUGGAGACAGCAUAGGUCUCACUGGGGCAGCCAAGCAGGCUGGUGCCUAAACACAACCUGCCAUCAGAAAACCCUGUCUGGAAUGAGCAGGAACUGAAGCCUUACGAUCUUGCUGUCAAGGCAGAAAGCUAACGAUGGCCUCUUUCAAUGGCGCGUAUUGCUGCUUUAUUCAGUAGGAGCCAAACAGGGGCCAUUUUGUGUCAACCAGCAGGGGGUGAGGCUGGAGCAGAUCUCUGGAGCUGCAGGCUCUGUAUUUUCCCAAGCUGUGCAGACACUGACUGAAUCAGGAGCUGGUGUAGCUGCUCGAGCUCAGUGGACAGCUACCAGGCAGCUGGCUGCUGCUCCAGUAAGGGCACUGGGUGCCCGCUGGCACACGAUAUGUGCUGUUCUUGCCAGCUUCAUAGCUGGUUCCUGGGUAAUACUUCUUCCCUGUGUGAAAACAGGGUGGAUUUCCUGCAGGAAAUUAUUUUCAUAUUAUCUUCAGUGAAGAGAUUAAUUUUUCCCUCUUCAGCCAAAAGGAGGAAUUCUGGCAAUAUGGUUUGACUUCUGCUGCCUUAACAAGUUGCUGUCGCGUCCAUCAGAACUGUGUUGAUAGCUGGCAGGUUCCGCUGCUAGUGGGUUUGCUCAGACAGGGUGACUCUGUGCUGUCCACCAGUGAUAUUUAUCCCGGUUAUCAAACACCAGGCACACAGCAUGCUGUCUGUCACGCAUCCCCCUUUCCUGUCUCCACUUUCCUGCCAGCCAGGCCACUCCAGAAACCACCUGGUGUCCUGCACCUGGUCUCCAGAUCAUCAUGAAGUGAAUGUUUUUUCACUGACUAAGCACAUGGGCCUUCGCCUGCCAGGGUUGGUGAAAAACUCACACCAGUUGGUCAUUGUUGCAGGAAAACAGCUCAACUUGCACAGGUUAAGCCAAAUCAAGGCUGGAGUUGGUUUACUGAUUUAUUAAGGAUAUGCGAUUAACUAUCAGUGAACUGUAUAUUCAAGAACAACGCUAGCGAUUCACCAGCUGACCCACACUGUUAGACACUUAGAAAACACGAAUAAAUUCCUAGAAGCUCCUAGGCGUGCUUUUAUAACCAGUCCCCAAAGAUUUUCAUCCUGCACACAAAGAUACCCACCGCAGUCUCUCCAGAAACGGAGUCAUUUCUGGCAGUGCAGAUACCCUCCACUCACGUCCCGCUCCUGCUGGAGCUGUGCCUGUUCCAGUUUCAGGGGUGCCCACGCUGCUCCCUACUGAUGCACCCCACUGAUGCUGGGGAAGGCACCCCAGCAGGCUACCAAUGUGCAUCUAAUGUGUGGGACCCUGCCCACAGGGUUAGGCUGCAGACAGGAUGCACCUGAGCUGGGCAACAGUGUGAUGCCAGCAAGGCAACCGCUGCCAGCGCCAAGAUGGGUUUUCAUUUCUGCUCUGUCCCUCUUUGAGGUUUCUCCCCAGUCUGACACAUAUUUUUGUGCAUCUUUGCUACAUCUUCCUGAUGUCUUUCAGAUUGAUGCCUUUAUUUGGAAAUUCCCUUUGUCAUUUCUUGCUUACCGCUUAAUUCAGCUGAUGGUCAUUUUCCUCUUUACCGUAGUGGUUGUUUCCCACUCCAGCAAGAUCAUUUUGGGGUAAACGCCCUCUCAGACAGUUCUGGGUUUUCCAUUCACAUGUGCUGUUCAUGCUGACUUCUGUCUUAGCAGCUGUUGUUGCCCGCAGCAUUUUGCCAAGGGUGAGCGGUGCAGGCACCCCCACGAAUAACGUUACACCGCCAUAAAACUGGUAGUAGAGAAAGGAACACUGGCCUCACAGCUGAAUUUUCUGUUCUAUAUUUACUUACUUUCCCAGAGUUUACCAGUUCACAGCAUUUUAAACUUUGUUAGCUCACAUAGCUCUGUGUGGCAAAUCGGUUCAAAUGCAUUUGUCACAUUCAUGGGACCAGCCAUGUGUGUCUAUAAGCUAAUCCCUCUUGAUCCCACAUCUGUGGGGAAUGAGGAAGACUUGGAAGCUGUUCUUGCCAUACCAUGCUCUGGGACGCUACAGGUCCCACCUGAACUGAUGUGAGGCUGAAAAUCAGAGGACAGUGCCAUGCAGGACCAGGAAGCUGUGUGGGGACCACACACUGGCAACUCCCCCCCUGGGGAGACCGACGGCGAUUUCUGAAGGGCGCUUCUCUUCCCUCAAGGCUUCAUGCAACUACCAGGGAGCUGUAAAUGCCUGUGUGCCACCUGGCCCCUGGCUUUCAGCAGGAGAGGCUGGCCUGUGUGCUGUAGGGCUGCAGCAGCUCCGCUGCCAAUGCAGUUCUUCACCCCCUCUCACCUGCUGUGUGCUGCAGGCCUUAUGCCAAGCUCUUGAGCAGCUGCCCUUUUCCAGCUCCAGGCAGGCCAACCUGAGGAGGCCUAGCCCCAUUUGUUGGUGGUGGCAGCCCACCAGCAGUAACUGUUUAAUGUCAUUUUGCUCACUUCUGACAUCUUAUAGUAGCUCUCAGUCCCAUAGCCUGUGAGCCACUCCUCACAGCAUGCCUCGCCUCUUCCUCCAUGGCAAAUUGCAGCACAGACCACAGACAUCUCUGCCUACAGAGAUGGUUCUCACACUUUACCCAUGCUUUCUGCCCGUGACCAUCAGCCGCAGUGCCUCAUUUCCCAAGUCACCAAGUGAGACAAACCAUGGUUUUGCUCUGCUCUAUGCCAUGCCCUUUUCUUGCUGCUACAUCAAACGUCUGCCCUCCAUCUGACCUUCAGUGGGACGCCUUUGCUUUCUUCCAGUCCCAUAACACAGGAAACCCCAAGCAAUAUCCUUGUUGGACAACUAUGGCCAAACUCACUGGAAGAAACCAGAAUGCUCUUCGCAAGCCAGCUCCUAAGGGCGGAAAGAUAAACCCUAAGUCCAUCCCACGGGUUGUUCUUUCCUAGGUACUGCCGCAGCUCUCCCCAGCCCCGUCCUUCCUCCCACAGCUAAUCUGGAUGUGGAUGUCUUCGCACAUUUUGUUCUUUGUUCUUGGCAGUUGCUAAAGUUGCCUCAGGCCCUUAUCACCUCAAAAGAUCAGAUCAUAUACCGGUGGCCUUAGAGACGGCCUGAUUGAUAUCUGAGCAGCCAAACAAACGGUAAAUUUGAAUAAAAUAUGGCACCCUCUUGCCUAUUAGUUCUGCUGAUUCAGAGAGGAUAAUGUGCUAACAUCAGGCAAAGUGCAUGCCUUGAGCAUGCACGGGAUGGCAGCUUCAGAAAAAGGUUUGCAGAAAUGGUGCACAACCCUCAUGGAGUGCCUUCUGCCCAACCCAGACCCUGCAUGCCCUGUCCUGUGCAGUUAUGGGGAUUUGGUGCUGCUGCCAACUCAACAGGGCUUAUGUGUUUGCCGAGAAAUACGGACUCUUGCAGGAAGUUUCCCGGUGAUCCUUAAGCAAACAGCAAUGCAGCCAAGGUGCUCCUGCAGCUCAGCUUCCACAGGCACCAUCAGUACUGGUAGUGAGGGAACGUGCUCAGAGAAAGGUCAUGUUUCUGAGUGGCCAUUUACUCUGUAACCGUGAUACGGCUGCUCGGGUUAGAUGGAUCAUUCAUCUCAAUUGCUUUCUCCAGACUUACUCUCAAUGGCCAUGGUUUCACUUUGGGUGUCCCUGUUGCUUGGGCAGAAGGCAAGGAGGGGGGUGGGCUGCAUUAGUUGCCACCAUUCCACCUGCCCUAAGCCAACUUGUGUGGGAUUUUCUUGGCUUAUAGACGUGGCCAGACACAGCAUACAUGGACAGGCUCCUUAGCGAACGUACUCAGGUGGCAACAUCACGUUGCCUCUGCACUCAGUUCCCAAAGUACUGGCUGCUGCAGGGCAGGGUGCUGAGGCCAUGAGGGGCAUCCAGGAUAUCAGAGAGUGCAGGUUCUCUUACCAGGCAGCCAGGCAGAGUGGGUGGCCCACAGCUGAGGAUGCUGCCUUGCUGGCUCCAAUAGCUAUAGCACUGGGGUCUGAGCAUUGGACAUGGGCAGCUAUUCCUCCCACAGUGUCUUGUUUAUUGGCUUGAUUGUAAUCACAGUCCUCUUAACUCGUAACCGAUACUCCUCCCUACGCGGCACACGAUGUUCACUGGGUAUCAGAUCCUGCUGUCUGUUUGCUCUUGUUAUCGCCCACCAUCAGCAGGUCUCUUUAAAGAUGAGCUCUGACAAACACCACGGAGAAAAGAGAGAUGCCACUCGUCCUCUUCCUCCUUGGAAAAUCAGCUGUCUGAACGCCAUUGGGAGCAAGUUCCCCUAACCUACCUAGGACAAAAGUCAACGUGGCUGGCUCCUUCCAUCGCCUAUAACGUGUUACAGAUCUGGCUUCCUCUGAUAGCCAUAAUGUGCCACGGAGCACUCAGCAAACUGGCACUCCCACUUAAACACGCUCAGACUCUCCAUUC